AUGGGUGCUUGGUUCCAACAC
rnacentral:siRNA from 1 species